rnacentral:antisense_RNA from 1 species
CCUGACGCUGGGAGGAGAUGCUGCCACCUAGGUUACUUGUAGGACCCUAUACGGCAACCUCCUUUGCCAGGAACUAUUUAGAAACAUCCUGCAGGAAAAUGCAGUGAAGUAGAAGAGACAGGGAUAUCCCAGAAGGUUAUGCAAAACAUCAAGAGAAGAUGAGAGGAGUCUAUAUGUCAGAAUACACAUUGCCCACCUUGCCCAACAGUAGAAAAACAUAAGAAGAGAAAAACAUUAAAAAAUGACAAGGAAGUUAAUGGAAGCAAUGUGAUGGUGUUUGGAGGUGGAGCCUUCAGAAGGUAAUUAAUGCCCUUGUAAGAAGAGGCCAGAGAGCUUGAGCACCUUCUUCCUGCCAUGUGAGGAGCCAAGAAGCCGGCUGUCUGCAACCUGCAAGAGGACCCUCACUAGAAGCUAGCCAUACUGGCACCCUCAUCUUGGCUUUCCAACUUCCAGAACUGUGAGAAGUAUAUGUUUGUGGUUUAGUCAAUGGUCUGUGGUAAUUUUUUUAUAGCAGUCCCAGCCAAGACAGUGCCUCAUUUACUACAUACCAUUUAUAUUAUUAUAUAGGCUCCUUUCAGAAACCCAUGUUCAAAUAAGAGAUAAGAUACUGAAACACAUAACACCUUCACUAGUUUUUAAUAUACAAAUAUUGAGAAAUA